GAUUAAUGUGAAUUGCAGAACACAUUGAACAUCGACACCUUGAACGCACAUGGCGGCCUCGGGUCCAUCCCGGGGCCACGCCCGUCUGAGGGUCG
rnacentral:rRNA from 1 species